rnacentral:rRNA from 1 species
GACAGAGGGUGCAAACGUUGUUCGGAAUUACUGGGCGUAAAGCGCGUGUAGGCGGUCUCGCAAGUCGGAUGUGAAAGCCCAGGGCUCAACCCUGGAAGUGCACUCGAUACUGCGAGGCUAGAGUCCCGGAGAGGAUGGUGGAACUCUCGGUGUAGAGGUGAAAUUCGUAGAUAUCGAGAAGAACACCGGUGGCGAAGGCGGCCAUCUGGACGGUGACUGACGCUGAGACGCGAAAGCGUGGGGAGCAAACAGGG